rnacentral:rRNA from 1 species
CCUACGGGUGACAGCAGUGAGGAAUAUUGGUCAAUGGACGCGAGUCUGAACCAGCCAAGUAGCGUGAAGGAUGACUGCCCUAUGGGUUGUAAACUUCUUUUAUCUGGGAGUAAAAUGUUCCACGCGUGGGAUUUCGUAUGUACCAUAUGAAUAAGCAUCGGCUAACUCCGUGCCAGCAGCCGCGGUAAUACGGAGGAUCCGAGCGUUAUCCGGAUUUAUUGGGUUUAAAGGGUGCGCAGGCGGACGAUAAAGUCAGCGGUAAAAUCGCGGGGCUCAACCCCGGCGAGCCGUUGAAACUGGCUGUCUUGAGAUGGUGAGAGGUAUGCGGAAUGCGCAGUGUAGCGGUGAAAUGCAUAGAUAUUACGCAGAACUCCGAUUGCGAAGGCAGCAUACCGGCGGCGAUCUGACGCUGAGGCACGAAAGUGUGGGUAUCGAACAGGAUUAGAUACCCGAGUAGUC